UACAGAGGGGGCAAGCGUUAUUCGGAAUUAUUGGGCGUAAAGGGCGCGUAGGCGGCCUUGCAAGUGACGGGUGAAAUCCCUCGGCUUAACCGAGGAACUGCCUGUCAGACUGCAUGGCUUGAGACCGGGAGAGGUGAGUGGAAUUCCCAGUGUAGCGGUGAAAUUCGUAGAUAUUGGGAAGAACACCGGUGGCGAAGGCGGCUAUCUGGCCCGUAAUUGACGCUGAGGCGCGAAAGCGUGGGGAGCAAACAGG
rnacentral:rRNA from 1 species